rnacentral:rRNA from 1 species
UACGGAGGGUGCAAGCGUUAAUCGGAAUUACUGGGCGUAAAGCGCACGCAGGCGGUUUGUUAAGUCUGAUGUGAAAUCCCCGGGCUCAACCUGGAUACUGCAGCUGAUACUGGAAAGCUUGAGUCACGUAGAGGAAAGUAGAAUUCCAAGUGUAGCGGUGAAAUGCGUAGAGAUCUGGAGGAACACCGGUGGCGAAGGCGGCUUCCUGGACGUAAACUGACGCUGAGGUGCGAAAGCGUGGGGAGCAAACAGG